AAUAGAUACCCUGGUAGUCCACGCCGUAAACGAUGUCGACUUGGAGGUUGUGCCCUUGAGGCGUGGCUUCCGGAGCUAACGCGUUAAGUCGACCGCCUGGGGAGUACGGCCGCAAGGUUAAAACUCAAAUGAAUUGACGGGGGCCCGCACAAGCGGUGGAGCAUGUGGUUUAAUUCGAUGCAACGCGAAGAACCUUACCUACUCUUGACAUCCAGAGAACUUAGCAGAGAUGCUUUGGUGCCUUCGGGAACUCUGAGACAGGUGCUGCAUGGCUGUCGUCAACUCGUGUUGUGAAAUGUUGGGUUAAGUCCCGCAACGAGCGCAACCCUUAUCCUUUGUUGCCAGCGAUUCGGUCGGGAACUCAAAGAGACUGCCAGUGAUAAACUGGAGGAAGGUGGGGAUGACGUCAAGUCAUCAUGGCCCUUACGAGUAGGGCUACACACGUGCUACAAUGGCAUAUACAAAGAGAAGCGACCUCGCGAGAGCAAGCGGACCUCAUAAAGUAUGUCGUAGUCCGGA
rnacentral:rRNA from 1 species